rnacentral:rRNA from 1 species
CCUACGGGAGGCAGCAGUGAGGAAUAUUGGUCAAUGGCCGAAAGGCUGAACCAGCCAAGCCGCGUGAGGGAGGAAGGCGCAGAGCGUCUCAGACCUCUUUUGCCGGGGGACAAAAGGCCGGACUCGUCCGGGCCUGAGUGUACCCGGAGAAAAAGCAUCGGCAAACUCCGUGCCAGCACCCGCCGUAAUACGGAGGGUGCGAGGGUUAUCCGGAUUCAUUGGGUUAAAGGGGUGCGCAGGCGGGCCUUUAAGCCGGCGGUGAAAUCUCGGGGAUAAACCCGGCAGAGCCGUGGGAACUGGGGGGCUUGAGUGCGGCGGAGGCAUGCGGAAUGCGCGGUGUAGCGGUGAAAUGCUUAGAUAUUGCGCAGAACUCCGAUUGCGAAGGCAGCAUACCGGCGGCGAUCUGACGCUGAGGCACGAAAGCGUGGGUAUCGAACAGGAUUAGAUACCCUUGUAGUC